AACGCACGAGACCUGCGGACCUGCGGAAGGAUCAUUAAUGAGAAGCUGCCCCUCGUGGGUAGACCUCCCACCCUCUGUGAACUUACCUUUGUUGCUUUGGCAAGCCCGUCCUCUGGACCGCCGGCUUCGGCUGGCCCGUGCCUGCCAGAGGAUUCCAAACCCUGUCUGUCAGUGUUGUCUGAGUCUAUAUGAAAUCGUUAAAACUUUCAACAACGGAUCUCUAGAUCGGAAGAGCACACG
rnacentral:misc_RNA from 1 species